rnacentral:rRNA from 1 species
GAUGAACGCUGGCGGCGUGCCUAAUACAUGCAAGUCGAGCGAACGGACGAGAAGCUUGCUUCUCUGAUGUUAGCGGCGGACGGGUGAGUAACACGUGGAUAACCUACCUAUAAGACUGGGAUAACUUCGGGAAACCGGAGCUAAUACCGGAUAAUAUUUUGAACCGCAUGGUUCAAAAGUGAAAGACGGUCUUGCUGUCACUUAUAGAUGGAUCCGCGCUGCAUUAGCUAGUUGGUAAGGUAACGGCUUACCAAGGCAACGAUGCAUAGCCGACCUGAGAGGGUGAUCGGCCACACUGGAACUGAGACACGGUCCAGACUCCUACGGGAGGCAGCAGCAGGGAAUCUUCCGCAAAGGGCGAAAGCCUGACGGAGCAACGCCGCGUGAGUGAUGAAGGUCUUCGGAUCGUAAAACUCUGUUAUUAGGGAAGAACAUAUGUGUAAGUAACUGUGCACAUCUUGACGGUACCUAAUCAGAAAGCCACGGCUAACUACGUG